rnacentral:rRNA from 1 species
CGCGUAGGCGGGCAAGCAAGUCCGGGGUGAAAUCUUUCGGCUCAACCGGAAAAGUGCCUUGGAUACUGCUUGUCUGGAGGGAGGUAGGGGCAUGCGGAACUUCUGGUGGAGCGGUGAAAUGCGUUGAUAUCAGAAGGAGCGCCGGUGGCGAAAGCGGCGUGCUGGACCUCUUCUGACGCUGAGGCGCGAAAGCUAGGGGAGCAAACG